rnacentral:rRNA from 1 species
AGUGCACAGGCAUAGCGCCUGUGCUUUUCGGUACCGUAAGGUGGUACCAGAAUAAGGGCUGGGCAAGACCGGUGCCAGCCGCCGCGGUAAUACCGGCAGCCCAAGUGAUGGCCGAUCUUAUUGGGCCUAAAGCGUCCGUAGCUGGCCGCGCAAGUCCAUCGGGAAAUCCACCUGCUCAACAGGUGGGCGCCCGGUAGAAACUGCGUGGCUUGGGACCGGAAGGCGCGACGGGUACGUCCGGGGUAGGAGUGAAAUCCCGUAAUCCUGGACGGACCGCCGAUGGCGAAAGCACGUCGCGAGAACGGAUCCGACAGUGAGGGACGAAAGCCAGGGUCUCGAACCGGAUUAGAUACCCGGGUAGUCCUGGCCGUAAACAAUGUCUGCUAGGUGUGGCUCCCACUACGAGUGGGUGCUGUGCCGUAGGGAAGCCGCUAAGCAGACCGCCUGGGAAGUACGUCCGCAAGGAUGAAACUUA